rnacentral:piRNA from 1 species
UAUGGACCAAGGAUAUGAAAUAAAUUUU